CUUCAUCCUGCCUGUCACUGCUGAAGAGUCAGGACGCUGCCUCAGCAGGACACACAGCCGGAACCCAGGCCCAGGCGGUGAGAUGGCCACCACAGGGGAUGUGGAUACCACACCGAGGUGACUCGCCGUACAGAUUUCAGACUCGAGACUGCGACAUCAUCUUUUGCCUAAGCUGCCUGCCGCCAGCAUUUUGGAUUUUGCCAGACCCCACAAUCACAGGAGCUCAUUCCUUACUAGAAAUCGCUCUCUCUCUCUCUCUCUCUCUGUAUCCCAUUGGCUCUCUUUCUCUGAAGAACCCCGCCCGAUGCAGCAGGAAUGUGGGGAAAAGGGCCUUUCAUACACCUGCUGGUGAGGGUGCAAAUUUGGACAACUGCAUCUGGAGGGCCAUCUGGCAGCCUCGACCAAACACUGGGCUUUGUGGUGCUCCAUUUUUACCAUUUGUCUACAGCAUGGCUUGUAAGAGCAAGUCGUGGACAAUUCAAUUGUCCACCAGUCGCCCAACACCUAACGAUCCGAGGUAGAACGCCAGCCAGCAGUUACCCACUGAUUGCCGGGUCAGGAAGCCCUUAGAGAGGGCCACCUCCUAGCAGAUGAGGAGCUGGGGGCUUGCAAUGGGGGUGAUCCACCCCAGAAUGCACAGAGCUGGGACUAGGCCGGUACCCACCUUCCUCCCAGGUAGGCGUGGUUACCCUCAACCUUUGCUUCUCGGGAGCGGUCCUGGCCCCCGCUUUUUGCCAGACUUCUCCGUGGCUCCACCCACCACAUCUAAGGUUCGGCGAAGACAAGACUUCCCUUGACUAAGACUGCAGGGAGAGGAACCCGAAGUAAACCCACAGAAAACCCAGCAAGACCCAGUCCAGGCUGGGGUCACCCUGCCAGGGGGAACCUGACACAGUGUUCAUCUUCUCUGGCUUGAAGAGGCUCCACCAAGGCCUAGGCUCCUGGCCCCCCACCCAGGGCCUUGCUUACCUUGACAAAAGGGACCCAUCAGGAGGCCUGUCCCCGCCAGCUCUAGUCCUAGGGGACCUGUGGGCACCGCCCCCUCCCCCUCCCCCCCAUGUAUUCGGUGAUUGCUGUUGUAGGACUGGCCCCGGUGGGUGCUGAGUACCUCGUGCCUCUCCCCUCCCCGCUGCCCCGAGGUUCCAGCUGGCCAAUCUGCUAACCCAUUUAGGUUAGUAGGUAUGCCUGGGGCAAGGAGGCUGAGGGGCAAGGAGGCCCAACUGGCUGUCUGACCUGGUCAAGUCACAUAAUUGUAUUGGUGAGCCGCGUCCACAAAGUGUCACAGAAUUGCUACAAGGAGCCAGUGAGCUCAUUUAUAUGAAGUCACUUUGUAAACUCUAACGGGCCAGAGAAAGGAGCGCUCGUUGUAGGUGUGUUACGUUUCUACACGUGCACAAAGGCCUCCUGAGGAAAAUAAGGCCUGAUCUGCGUGUUUCUCAAAUAGCUGACCCUGGUAAUGGGCUGAGCUCCCAAGGGAUUCUGAUGCCACACAGGUGGCAGGCAGUGGAUGCACCUGACA